rnacentral:rRNA from 1 species
AUGUCACCACAAACAGAAACUAAAGCAGGUGUUGGAUUUCAAGCUGGUGUUAAAGAUUAUAAAUUGACUUACUACACCCCAGAGUAUGAAACUAAGGAUACUGAUAUCUUGGCAGCAUUCCGAGUAAGUCCUCAGCCUGGGGUUCCGCCCGAAGAAGCAGGGGCUGCAGUAGCUGCCGAAUCUUCUACUGGUACAUGGACAACUGUUUGGACUGAUGGACUUACCAGUCUUGAUCGUUACAAAGGACGAUGCUAUCACAUCGAGCCUGUUGCUGGGGAAGACAACCAAUGGAUCUGUUAUGUAGCUUAUCCAUUAGACCUAUUUGAAGAGGGUUCCGUUACUAACAUGUUUACUUCCAUUGUAGGUAACGUAUUUGGUUUCAAAGCCCUACGUGCUCUACGUUUGGAGGAUCUACGAAUUCCCCCUACUUAUUCAAAAACUUUCCAAGGCCCGCCUCAUGGUAUCCAAGUUGAAAGAGAUAAGUUGAACAAGUAUGGUCGUCCUUUAUUGGGAUGUACUAUUAAACCAAAAUUCGGAUUAUCCGCAAAAAAUUAUGGUAGAGCGUGUUAUGAGUGUCUACGUGGUGGA